rnacentral:rRNA from 1 species
UACGGGGGGUGCAAGCGUUGCUCGGAAUCACUGGGCGUAAAGCGUCCGCAGGCGGCUUUGUAAGUCGGUUGUGAAAGCCCAGGGCUCAACCCUGGAACUGCAUUCGAGACUGCAAGGCUUGAGUACGGGAGAGGGAAGUGGAAUUCCUGGUGUAGAGGUGAAAUUCGUAGAUAUCAGGAGGAACACCGGUGGCGAAAGCGGCUUCCUGGCCCGAUACUGACGCUCAUGGACGAAAGCGUGGGGAGCAAACAGG